rnacentral:misc_RNA from 1 species
AGUUCCAUGGGAUAUACAGUCUUCUCACAGGCCUUGCAUUUCUGCUUGGUGCCAGUAAAAGACAUAGUCGCUGCUGAAGAAUCUGUAUACGUCUUAGAUCUGACUGCUCUUUUACCUCACCAAGAUCACCUACAAAAUGGAAAAAGAAGAAGAAGAAGAAGAAGAAAACUUGAGCUGAAACAGUCGAUUUGGGAGUCAAAGAAAGAGAAAGACACCCAAAAAAAAG